rnacentral:rRNA from 1 species
UGGGGAAUAUUGGGCAAUGGGCGCAAGCCUGACCCAGCAACGCCGCGUGAAGGAAGAAGGCUUUCGGGUUGUAAACUUCUUUUAAGAGGGAAGAGAAGAAGACGGUACCUCUUGAAUAAGCCACGGCUAACUACGUGCCAGCAGCCGCGGUAAUACGUAGGUGGCAAGCGUUGUCCGGAUUUACUGGGUGUAAAGGGCGUGCAGCCGGGAGGACAAGUCAGAUGUGAAAUCCACAGGCUCAACCUGUGAACUGCAUUUGAAACUGUUUUCUUGAGUACCGGAGAGGUCAUCGGAAUUCCUUGUGUAGCGGUGAAAUGCGUAGAUAUAAGGAAGAACACCAGUGGCGAAGGCGGAUGACUGGACGGCAACUGACGGUGAGGCGCGAAAGCGUGGGGAGCAAACAGGAUUAGAUACC